UUUCCGUAGGUGAACCUGCGGAAGGAUCAUUCAUAAUAAAGUGUUUUAUGGCACCUUUUAAAAAUCCAUAUCCACCUUGUGUGCAAUGUCAAGUCUCUCGUUCAAGACAGUUUCGACUGUUCCUGGGCAGGGUCUUUAUAUAUCAACUCUUUCUUAAACCAAUUUGUCUGAAAAAUAUUAUGAAUACUUAAUUCAAAUACAACUUUCAACAACGGAUCUCUUGGCUCUC
rnacentral:misc_RNA from 1 species